GUCUGCUUGCACUCGCUUGCUUAAAUACGUCCAGUGUUCUACUUACUCUUCUCUCUCCCUCUUCUUCCGUCUCCAUAUCUGCAACUGCAGCCGCGAGGAAAUUCUCUCAAUCGAUGAGCUCCCCCGUUCUUGAUGUGGUUUUCGACCGCGAGGAGAAUCUUGAGACCAGAAAGGCGUACUCCAAUUCUUUCAUGAUUUAGGCGCUCCAAGACUAAUCCCCUUUCGAUGUGAAGUCAUCCAGAGCGCCAAUUAGUCCUCUUCUUCUCCAGUCAUUUCAACGGCAAGAAGCAUCCACGGGCGUCGCUCCCAUGGCGGCGCUGGCCGUUAUGCUGCUGCUGCUGCUGCUGCUUCACCUGGCGUGCGCAGUUGUUUCCGGCACCGACGACGAGGCCGCAGCGCUGCUCGAGUUCAAGCGCGCGUCCGUUGCUGCCGACAAGCACGGCGCGCUUGCGGGCUGGGCCAACUCCACCUCCAGCUCGCCGUGCGCGUGGGUCGGCGUCUCGUGCGCGGACGGCCGCGUCCGCGCGCUCAACCUCAGCGGCAUGUCGCUCGCUGGCCGGCUCCGCCUUGAUGCCCUGCUCGCGCUCCCCGCUCUUCAGAGCCUUGACCUCCGCGGGAAUGCGUUCCACGGCGACCUCGCUCACCACGCCCCGCCGCCGCGGCGGACAGCGCCGCCGUGCGCGCUCGUGGACUUGGACUUGUCCUCGAACGACCUCAACGGGACGCUGCCCCGCGCGUUCUUGGCGUCCUGCAGGGGCCUGCAGCUCCUCAACUUGUCCAGGAACACCCUCACCGGCGGUGGCUUCCCGUUCCCGCCGUCUCUGCGCACCUUGGACAUGUCCAGGAAUAUGCUUUCAGAUGCCGGCUUGCUGAACUACUCCCUGACCGGCUGCCAUGGAGUUCAGUACCUCAAUUUCUCGGCCAACCAAUUCACUGGAGGCCUCUCGGAACUUGCAACGUGCAGUGGGGUUGCUGUUCUUGAUUUGGCAUGGAACCUCUUGUCCGGCGUCCUGCCUGCUAGGCUUGUCGCCACGGCACCAGCAGAUUUGAUACACUUGAGCAUCGCUGGGAACAACCUUUCUGGGGACAUCUCAGAUUAUGAAUUUGGUGGUUGUGCAAACCUCACUGUGCUCGAUUGGUCAUACAAUAGAUUAAGUGGCAUGGGGCUGCCACUGAGUCUUGCCAAUUGCCGCCAUCUGGAGAUACUUGACAUAUCCGGGAACAAGCUUCUGUCUGGUCCAAUACCAGUGUUCUUGGCAGACUUCCAAGCAUUGAGGCGACUUGCACUAGCUGGGAACAACUUCACCGGGCCAAUACCAGAUAAGCUGAGCAUCUUGUGCAGAACGCUGGUUGAACUAGACUUCUCGAGCAAUCAGCUGACUGGUAGCUUGCCUGUGAGUUAUGCACAAUGUAGGUUGCUUCAGGUACUUGACCUCGGCAACAACCAGCUGUCUGGGGACUUUGUGGUUACUGUCAUCAGCAAUAUCUCUUCUCUCCGUGUGCUGCGGCUACCAUUCAACAAUAUCACAGGGACAAACCCCCUGCCCGCGCUCGCAGCUGGGUGCCGUUUGCUUGAAGUUAUUGAUCUUGGGUCUAAUGAGCUCAAUGGGGAGAUCAUGCCAGACUUAUGCUCAUCAUUGCCAUCACUGCGAAAGCUUCUCCUCCCGAACAAUUACCUCAACGGAACUGUGCCACCGUCACUUGGUAAUUGCAGCAGUCUAGAGUCAAUCGACCUCAGUUUGAACCUAUUGAUCGGUCAGAUUCCACCUGAAGUAUUAUUGCUUCCUAAGCUUGUUGAUCUGGUCAUGUGGGCAAACAAUCUCUCCGGUGAAAUACCAGAUAAGCUGUGUGCAAAUAGCAUAACACUGGAGACAUUGGUGAUAAGUUACAACAACUUCACUGGAGGCAUCCCUCCAUCCAUUACCAGAUGUGCAAAUCUGAUUUGGGUGUCACUUGCUGCCAACCAUCUGACUGGGAGCGUGCCCACAGGCUUCAGCAGCCUCCAGAAGCUUGCCAUUCUACAGCUGCACAAGAAUUCCCUCUCUGGCCAGGUCCCAGCAGAGUUUGGCAGCUGCAGCAACCUCAUCUGGCUUGAUCUCAAUAGCAAUAACUUCACUGGCAUGAUACCACCGCAGUUAGCAGCACAGGCGGGGUUCAUCACUGGAGGUAUUGUCUCUGGAAAGCAGUUCGCAUUCCUCAGGAAUGAGGCUGGAAACAUCUGCCCUGGUGCCGGAGUGUUGUUCGAGUUCCUUGACAUCCGUCCAGAGCGGCUGGCCCAGUUCCCAGUUGUGCACUCGUGUGCCUCCACGAGGAUAUACACUGGGAUGACAGUGUACACCUUCAGUAAUAACGGAAGCAUGAUCUUCCUUGAUCUAUCAUACAACAGCCUUACCGGCACAAUUCCGGCAAGCUUCGGGAACAUGACAUAUCUUGAGGUCCUUAACUUGGGCCAUAAUGACCUUACUGGUGCAAUUCCAGAUGCAUUCACGGGUCUUAAUGUGAUUGGUGUACUUGACCUCUCACACAAUCACCUCACCGGUGUCAUCCCCUCAGGACUUGGGUGCUUGCAUUUCCUUGCAGACUUCGAUGUCUCUAACAACAACCUGACUGGUGAAAUCCCCACAUCAGGGCAGCUUAUUACAUUCCCAGCAUCCCGCUAUGAAAACAACUCUGGUCUCUGUGGCAUCCCCUUGAAUCCUUGUGUGCACAAUUCCAGCACUGGAGGUCUGCCCCAAUCUUCCCCUGAUGGGCGGAGGAAGAAGUUCGUCGGAGAAAGUGUGCUCCUUGCAGUUGCACUAUUAGUGCUCAUAGUGCUCACUCUGGUGGUCACUCUAUACAAGCUCAGGAGGCCCCAUGAAAGAAAAACUGAAGAAAUUCAAACUGGGUACAGCGAGAGCCUCCCAACAUCCACCAACUUCAGCUGGAAACUUUCUAGUGCCCGCGAGCCACUAAGCAUCAAUUUGGCCAUAUUUGACAAUCCAUUGAGAAAGCUAACAUAUGCUCACCUGCAUGAAGCCACCAAUGGCUUCAGUUCAGAGGCACUCAUUGGCUCAGGAGGAUUUGGCGAGGUUUACAAGGCUAAGCUCAAGGAUGGCAUUGUUGUGGCUGUAAAGAAGUUGAUGCAUUUUACAGGUCAGGGUGACAGGGAGUUCACCGCAGAGAUGGAAACCAUUGGCAAGAUCAAGCAUCGCAAUCUUGUGCCAUUGCUAGGCUACUGCAAAAUCGGUGAUGAGCGUCUCCUUGUGUACGAGUAUAUGAAGAAUGGCAGCUUGGAUGUUGUGCUCCAUGAAAAAGCCGAGACUGCUGUGAAUCUUGAUUGGGCAGCAAGGAAAAAGAUUGCAGUUGGUUCAGCAAGAGGCUUAGCCUUCCUCCACCACAGCUGCAUCCCACACAUCAUACACCGGGACAUGAAGUCGAGCAAUGUGCUGCUUGAUGGUAACCUUGAUGCCUAUGUAUCGGAUUUUGGGAUGGCAAGGCUCAUGAAUGCACUGGACUCACAUCUGACUGUGAGCAUGCUAUCAGGAACACCUGGAUAUGUGCCACCUGAGUACUGCCAGUCCUUUAUGUGCACAACCAAGGGUGACGUCUACAGCUACGGUGUUGUGCUCUUGGAGCUUCUCUCAGGGAAAAAGCCAAUUGAUCCGACCGAGUUUGGUGACACGAACCUUGUUGAGUGGGCAAAGCAGAUGGUUAAGGAGGACAGAUGCAACGAGAUAUUCGACCGUACUUUAACCACUACGGAGUCCUGUGAAUUGGAGUUCUAUCAGUAUCUGAAGAUUGCUUGCCACUGCUUGGAUGAUCAGCCUAACUGCAGGCCUACCAUGAUCCAGAUAAUGGCAAUGUUCAAAGAGUUGCAGAAUGACUCAGACAGCAACUUCCUGGAUGGCUUCUUGAUCAAAUCAGCAAAUAUAGAGGAAUCGUCUGAGAAAUCGGUUGAGGGACUUGAUCACUUAACCAGGCAACGCCUUUUGAUCCCUGGAACAAACAUACAGUUACAUUUCAGACUUUGUAACUUAAUAAUCAGCAAUGCCAAUGCUUCUGGCAUCCUCAAAGGCAAUAAGGCAUACAGGUGGCGGUACAAACUCGUGUACCCUUCCUUCGUGACUUCUGCGGAUGUUAAUUGUACCUUUCCAGGAUUUCAGAUGUGUGACACUGAAAAUAUACUCAUUUACAAAAGGUGUAUGUAUGUCUUAUGAUGCUCUUUCAUACCUGGCACUCCCCUAUUUUCUGCAAAGAUGAAGAAUCUUCACCAAAAUUCUUAGCUUUUUGCCUUUCAAAAGAUGGCUGCUAUUCUUCGUGUUGAAACUCUUGAAUCCAAUAAUGUGUACCACUUGCAGUCAAAGAUUAGCUGAAAGCCGUAUACUUUUGAACUCUGAAUACUAGAUGCUCACAUACUGUUUAUCUGAUGUCUAAUGAUAAACAAGAACCAACUGGGUGGUCAAAUGUCACUUUCAGAACAGCCUGCAUGCUUCAGGUAAAAGGAUUUGGUGUUAGGUCAGCUGAGAUGCGUUCCUUGACAUGCCAUUCUUCGCGUGUACUAAAUAAGUGAUGGUGGGUUCUUGGUCAUGCACGGCAUCUGAUCCUUCACUCCCUGAUGCUGUACUGUAGCUGUAUCAGGUCGGAGAUGUGUGCACGGCUGUGUGGCACUAGUUAGGCAUGAGGCUGAAGACUUUUGGGACAGUGACCUUUGGUUUCAAAUCUAGAUGUGUGCACGGCUGUGUGGCACUAGUUAGGCAUGAGGCUGAAGACUUUUGGGACAGUGACCUUUGGUUUCAAAUCCUGUGUAAAUUACAUGAGGGGUUCUUACACUUACCAGUUUUGUGCGUUUUCUUUAGCAGGAAGUAAUAUCAGUUUUGUUAUUUAGUUUGUUUUUA